rnacentral:tRNA from 1 species
GCCUUCGUACUGUAAUGGUCAGCACACUCGGCCGAUACUCGAGAGUCUGAGGUUCGAGUCCCGGCCAGGGCA